rnacentral:rRNA from 1 species
AUUGAACGCUGGCGGCAGGCUUAACACAUGCAAGUCGAGCGAGCGGCGGACGGGUGAGUAAUGUCUGGGAACCUGCCUGAUGGAGGGGGAUAACUACUGGAAACGGUAGCUAAUACCGCAUACCCUCAGAUGUGCCCAGAUGGGAUUGGCUAGUAGGUGGGGUAAUGGCUCACCUAGGCGACGAUCCCUCGCUGGUCUGAGAGGAUGACCAGCCACACUGGAACGGAGACACGGUCCAGCGUCCUACGGGAGGCCGCAGUGGGGAAUAUGGCACAAUGGGCGCAAGCCUGAUGCAGCCAUGCCGCGUGUGUGAAGAAGGCCUGCGGGUUUUAAAGCACUUUCAGCGAGGAGGCGGUACUCGCAGAAGAAGCACCGGCUAACUCCGUGCCAGCAGCCGCGGUAAUAC